rnacentral:rRNA from 1 species
CUACGGGGCGCAGCAGUGGGGAAUAUUGGACAAUGGGGGAAACCCUGAUCCAGCCAUGCCGCGUGAAUGAUGAAGGCCCUCGGGUUGUAAAGUUCUUUUGGUGGGGACGAUGAUGACGGUACCCACAGAAUAAGCUCCGGCUAACUUCGUGCCAGCAGCCGCGGUAAUACGAAGGGAGCUAGCGUUGUUCGGAAUUACUGGGCGUAAAGGGUGCGUAGGCGGUUUAACAAGUCAGGUGUGAAAGCCCCGAGCUCAACUCGGGAACUGCGCUUGAUACUGUUAAGCUAGAAUUCGGAAGAGGUGAGUGGAAUUCCCAGUGUAGAGGUGAAAUUCGUAGAUAUUGGGAAGAACACCGGUGGCGAAGGCGGCUCACUGGUCCGACAUUGACGCUGAGGCACGAAAGCGUGGGGAGCAAACAGGAUUAGAUACCCUUGUAGUC